CAUCGGAACGUGCCCAAUCGUGGGGGAUAACGCAGCGAAAGCUGUGCUAAUACCGCAUACGAUCUACGGAUGAAAGCAGGGGACCGCAAGGCCUUGCGCGAGUGGAGCGGCCGAUGGCAGAUUAGGUAGUUGGUGAGGUAAAGGCUCACCAAGCCGUCGAUCUGUAGCUGGUCUGAGAGGACGACCAGCCACACUGGGACUGAGACACGGCCCAGACUCCUACGGGAGGCAGCAGUGGGGAAUUUUGGACAAUGGGCGCAAGCCUGAUCCAGCAAUGCCGCGUGCAGGAUGAAGGCCUUCGGGUUGUAAACUGCUUUUGUACGGAACGAAACGGUUCUCUCUAAUACAGGGGGCUAAUGACGGUACCGUAAGAAUAAGCACCGGCUAACUACGUGCCAGCAGCCGCGGUAAUACGUAGGGUGCGAGCGUUAAUCGGAAUUACUGGGCGUAAAGCGUGCGCAGGCGGUUAUGUAAGACAGUUGUGAAAUCCCCGGGCUCAACC
rnacentral:rRNA from 1 species